ensembl:lncRNA
CCGAGUUUUACCGGCUGCGAUGUGUUACGCGCCCCUGCUUUAGAAAAAAACAGAGAAGGAAAACUUCAUAGAAAUGGCGGAGGGUGCUACGACUCUCAAAGGCUUGCGAGCCCAAAUGGCUGCAGCUGCACAGGCACAAGCCGAGGAGCGGCGCAGCCUGGCAGGGAACAGCCCAGGACCUACAACCAACGCACCAGCUAAACCUCAGGGGGGGAGUAGGCCAGUCAUUGACGGUGCCGCGCUUAGAAUAGACGACCGGCUGCGAGUGGCAAAAGAGAGGCGAGAGGAGGCAGAGAGACAACAGGUUUUGCGAGACUCUCAGAUCAUGGAGCGGGAGCGCAAGGCCAAGAUGCAAGUGGAGCGUCAGAUGGAGGAGCGUCAGAAAAAGGUUGAUGAACAGCGAAGAAAGGAGGAGCAGAAACGAUUGGCUGUGGAGGAGAAGAGGAAGCAGAAACAGGAAGAGGAAAAGGAGCACUACGAGGCAGUGAUGCGGCGGACAUUGGAGCGCAGUCAGCGAGUGGAGCAGAGGCAGAAAAGAUGGUCCUGGGGAGGACUGUCCACUGACUCAGAUGGACGAACAGGAGACUCUGAUGCCGGCACCUCAUCUCCAGUAACUAUAGUUAUCUCCUCUGCCUCGCCAGAAAAGCCACCAAGGAGUCAACAAGUGGACAAGCGCUCCACAUCCACCAUGAACCUGAAACAGCUGUCCGAGGCUGGCAUCAGCAAACGCCUAUCCUCCUCCUCUGCCACCCUUAUCAAAUCUCCUGACAAAAGUGUUAAGCCGAGGAGUUCGUCUUGUAACCGGUUGCCUAACAAUGGCAAUGCUGCUCAGGCCAGUAAGGAAGAUGGCAAAAAACUUCAGGUGGAACAGACAGGUGCAAAAGAUCCCCUCUCCAUCCCACACUAUGCUUUUAUAACAGAGAUGGUGUACAGUACACAAUUUACUCGCAGGCCACCGGCCGGCACUGUGGACGGAGGGGUCCUUAGUCGCCUGCUCACCCCCACCCAGGCCUCACUAGCUAGGAGCAGGAGCGCCGCCGCCCUGUCAGCUGAAGGAACAGAUGCUCCAGAGUGUCACCUGUGUCCUCGCUCAGCCUCUGCCAGUCCCCUGCAUCCACCACGGGGACCCGUGCGCAGCCGCAGCAUUGACCGGCAGAAGAGCAGCAUGACCACCUCUGUGUCGGCCGACGGAAAAGACAAGCAGUUUACAUCGCCUGGAGGGCAACGUCCCGCCUCCCCAUCUACUACCAUGGGACGUAACCGUUCACCAUCCCCAGCCCCCAAUCCAACACGCCCACCCUCACCGAGUGCAAUGAAACAACGCCCCCCAUCCCCCCAGCCUACAUCAGCCAAACCUCCACCUAUUCAGAAACCAGCUCUCACUCCAACAGGGGCCCCCACCUUGCGAAAGAGGGACUCCAAGUCCAAGGAUCUGUGUCCGGUCCAGGCUGUGUCUCCACAGUCCUCUGAUUCCAGCAAGACCAAAGAGAAAGAUGACUCUAAAGCCUCGACAGGCACUAACUCGGCCGCUGAGGCAGCCAAGAUCCUGGCGGAGAACCGCAGACUGAUGCGAGAGCAGAAAGAGAGAGAGGAGCAGCUCAGGAUACAGAGGGAGGAAGAGGAGAAGCUGAGAAAGGAAGAAGAGAUGCGUUUAGCGGAGGAGGCUCGACUGAAACGCCUAGAGGAGGAAAAGAAACUUGCCGAGGAGAGGAAAAUUAAAGACGAGGAAGAUGCUCGCCUAGCAGAGGAGGAGCGGGUGAGAAUGGCAGAAGAGGAGGCAGUGAGACAGGCCGAGCUCCAGAAGGAACGGGAGGAGGCUGAGGCCAAGGCCCUGGAGGAGGCAGAGAGAGUCCGUCUGGAGAGAGAGCGCAUCAUGCAGCAGAACCAGCAAGAACGAAUGGAGAGGAAGAAGAGAAUUGAAGAGAUAAUGAAGAGAACAAGAAAAGGGGAGCAAAAUGACUUGAAGGUGAAUGAUGGAGAUGAUGGAGACGAUGGAGACGAUGGAGACGAUGGAGACGAGGGAGAGGACUAUGAAACCCAGAGUAAGUGUUCUCAUCCCAGAGCUAUCACACUGAUGGCAGGUUCAGGAUAUCAGAUCCCUAAGGGCCGCCUCGUCGAGGGCUCGGAGUUCCUGAAUGAGCAGGACUCCGCCAAGGUGGGGUUGGUCUCAGGUCUAAAUGGUAAAUCCAACCAGUGGAGCUUUGAGGAACUCAUUGACCUCAACGUCCACUCCAAGACUCGGCCCCUCAUCGAGGCAGAGGACUAUGGGACCAGGGUAGCCUUCGAGGACAAGGGAACCCCUGUCAACACCCUGCAUUCCCCUAAUCAGCCCUUAGAAGCUCUGUCAGGUGAGGAAUCAUUUACACUUAUUCGUCUAUUAGACAUUUUUGACUGUCUUCUUAAAGAUAGACCAUAA